rnacentral:rRNA from 1 species
CCUACGGGAGGCAGCAGUGAGGAAUAUUGGUCAAUGGGCGAGAGCCUGAACCAGCCAAGUCGCGUGAGGGAGUACUGUCCUAUGGGUUGUAAACCUCUUUUGUCGGGGAGCAAAAGCCGGACGUGUCCGGCUGUGAGAGUACCCGAAGAAAAAGCAUCGGCUAACUCCGUGCCAGCAGCCGCGGUAAUACGGAGGAUGCGAGCGUUAUCCGGAUUUAUUGGGUUUAAAGGGUGCGCAGGCGGAUUUUUAAGUCAGCGGUCAAAUCGUGGGGCUCAACCCCAUCCAGCCGUUGAAACUGGGGGUCUAGAGUGGGCGAGAGGUAUGCGGAAUGCGUGGUGUAGCGGUGAAAUGCAUAGAGAUCACGCAGAACCCCGAUUGCGAAGGCAGCAUACCGGUGCACAACUGACGCUCAGGCACGAAAGCGUGGGUAUCGAACAGGAUUAGAUACCCGAGUAGUC